rnacentral:rRNA from 1 species
AUAAAUAUUUAAGGGCCGCAGUAUCCUGACUGUGCAAAGGUAGCAUAAUCAUUAGUCUUUUAAUUGAGGGCUUGUAUGAAUGAUUGGACGAGAUAUAGACUGUCUCAUAAAAAUUUAUGUAGAAUUUUAUUUUUUAGUCAAAAAGCUAAAAUUUAUUUAAAAGACGAGAAGACCCUAUAGAUCUUUAUAAAUAGCUUAUUAAUUUUGUUAGGUUUUUUUUUAAAUUAAUAAGUGAUUUUAUUUUGUUGGGGUGACAAUGAAAUUUAAUAAACUUUCAUAAAAUAAUAACAUUGAUUUAUGAAUAUUUGAUCCAUUAUUAUUGAUUAAAAAUUUAAGUUACCUUAGGGAUAACAGCGUAAUUAUUUUGGAGAGUUCAUAUCGAUAAAAUAGUUUGCGACCUCGAUGUUGGAUUAAGAUUAAUUCUGGGUGUAGCCGCUUAGAGUAUUAAGUCUGUUCGACUUUUAAUUUCUUACAUGAUC